rnacentral:rRNA from 1 species
UACGUAGGGUGCGAGCGUUAAUCGGAAUUACUGGGCGUAAAGCGUGCGUAGGCGGCGCUGUAAGACAGAUGUGAAAUCCCCGGGCUUAACCUGGGAACUGCAUUUGUGACUGCAGUGCUAGAGUGUGUCAGAGGGGGGUGGAAUUCCACGUGUAGCAGUGAAAUGCGUAGAGAUGUGGAGGAACACCGAUGGCGAAGGCAGCCCCCUGGGAUAACACUGACGCUCAGGCACGAAAGCGUGGGGAGCAAACAGGAUUA